AGUGAACGCUGGCGGUAGGCCUAACACAUGCAAGUCGAACGGCAGCACCGUAAGAGCUUGCUCUUACGGGUGGCGAGUGGCGGACGGGUGAGGAAUACAUCGUAAUCUACUUUUUCGUGGGGGAUAACGUAGGGAAACUUACGCCAAUACCGCAUACGAUCUACGGGUGAAAGCAGGGGAUCUUCGGACCUUGCGCGAUUGAAUGAGCCGAUGUCGGAUUCGAUAGUUGGCUGGCUAAAUGCCCACCAAGGCGACGAUUCGUAGAUGGUGUGAGUGAAGGAUAAGCCAAAAAGGAAGCUAGACACGUUCCUGACGACUAAGGGAGGGAGAAGUGGGGAAUAAUGGACAAUGGGCGCAAACCUGAUACAGUGAUACCGCGUCGGUGAAGAAAGCCCUCGGGUUGUAAAGGCCUUUUGUGGGGAGAGAAAAGCAUCAGGUUGAUACCCCGCUGGUCUGACGGGACCCGAAGAAUAAGCACCGGCGAACUUCGUG
rnacentral:rRNA from 1 species